UAUAUAUAUAUAUAUAUAUAUAUAUAUAUAUAUAUAUAAUUGAGCUAGAAUACUUUUAGAAGCACCAACCCCUUGGUGCUUCUAAGUUUCUAGCCCUUGGAUCUACUCCUUAAUUACUAAUAUCCCUUGGAUUAAACACUAUUCCACCUAUCACCACCUACCACCAUCAUCUCAACCUCAUAUCUCUCCAUCCAAUAGCUAAAAACUCAAAAGUACCACCUUCAUGGUGCUUUUAAGAGUAUUCUAGCUCAACUAUAUAUAUAUAUAUAGAGAGAGAGAGAGAGAGAGAGAGAGAGAGAGAGAGAGAGAGAGAGAGAGAGAGAGAGAGUCCGGCUAUGGUGCUUGUAAAAGCACCAAGCACUUGGUACUUGUAAAUUUUUUACUGUUAGAUCUAUGCCUCGGAUCAUUUUCAUCCGUUAGAUUAUACUAUUCAACCAACCACCCACUCAACCCUAAAGGGCCCACAUCAUCAUAACCGCACAUUCUUUAAGCCAAGGGUUAAAAACUUACAAGUACCAAUAACUUAGUACUUUUAAAAGCAUAGGAG
rnacentral:lncRNA from 1 species